rnacentral:rRNA from 1 species
GCCUGAUCCAGCCAUACCGCGUGGGUGAAGAAGGCCUUCGGGUUGUAAAGCCCUUUUGUUGGGAAAGAAAUCCAGCCGGCUAAUACCUGGUUGGGAUGACGGUACCCAAAGAAUAAGCACCGGCUAACUUCGUGCCAGCAGCCGCGGUAAUACGAAGGGUGCAAGCGUUACUCGGAAUUACUGGGCGUAAAGCGUGCGUAGGUGGUUGUUUAAGUCUGUUGUGAAAGCCCUGGGCUCAACCUGGGAACUGCAGUGGAAACUGGACAACUAGAGUGUGGUAGAGGGUAGCGGAAUUCCCGGUGUAGCAGUGAAAUGCGUAAAGAUCGGGAGGAACAUCCAUGGCGAAGGCAGCUACCUGGACCAACACUGACACUGAGGCACGAAAGCGUGGGGAGCAAACAGGAUUAAAUACCCUGGUAGUCCACGCCCUAAACGAUGCGAACUGGAUGUUGGGUGCAAUUUGGCACGCAGUAUCGAAGCUAACGCGUUAAGUUCGCCGCCUGGGGAGUACGGUCGCAAGACUGAAACUCAAAGGAAUUGACGGGGGCCCGCACAAGCGGUGGAGUAUGUGGUUUAAUUCGAUGCAACGCGAAGAACCUUACCUGGCCUUGACAUGUCGAGAACUUUCCAGAG